GCCGUUGCUGCCGCGGAUUAUGCACAGGGCCGCGGCCUGCCCGGGGAAAGCUGGUGUGCCAGCCGGCGGGCCGGGCGCCGGUCCCGGCGGCGGCG
rnacentral:tRNA from 1 species